rnacentral:ncRNA from 1 species
GGUCUAUAAUCCGAGACCUAAAAGGCGGAUGAUUCGUUGGGCGAUGGUUAAAGCCCUAAAACAACCUA